rnacentral:lncRNA from 1 species
GCCAAGUGUAAAGCUAAAUAUAUCAAAAAUAUUCAAAUCCCCAAGGAAACCACGCCCACUGCAGUGGCUUCAAAUCAUGGGCACCGCCCUCACCCACGGUGGGCCAAUAUGGUCAUGCUCGGCACUUUUUUUCUCUGCAAAGGCAAGCGCAGGACACCAUCGAUCGUCUCUAGGUUGAAACCAGGAGGAUACUUCGGAGGAACUACAGACUGCAGAGGUCCAGCUGAGAGAGGACCGUGAAAAACUUCAACAAGAACAUGAACAGCAGCGUGUAAGCCUUCAAGAACAGCUUAAUGUUACCACUUCCAGUAUUUUGAAAAGCACUCAAGAAGAGCUGAACCAGUGCAGACGUCACUCAUGCGGCGAUGUGCAACAAUACCUGCAGGAUAGUCUCAAAGCACUGGAAGAAAGAGGAAUGACACAGCAGUGGAUGCUUGUGCAAAAGUAAAGGAGCAGACCCAGGAACUGAGAGUUCAGCUGACACCUUUAAGGGAGGAGAUACAAAAACUCACGCACCAGAAAGUUUGUUUGGAUGAAAAACUUAAGCUAAUCAGUUUCCAAAGAAAAGAGAAGAUGGGGCAAUACAAGGUAUGCAACUUUGUAAAAUUU